rnacentral:rRNA from 1 species
AUUGAAAUGUUUAUUUAGUUUUUUUGUAUAUGUUUAUUAAUUAAAAAGUUAAUUGGUUUUAUUAUUUUUAAAGAAAAAAUUUAUUUUAUGAUAGAUUAUAGUAUAGUAAUAGAAAAUUUUAAAGUAGUUAAAAGAAGAUUUUAUUUAUUGUACCUUGUGUAUCAGGGUUUAUUAAUUAAUUCUAAUUAUUUGGUUUUCUCGAAUUAUAAAGAGCUAAUUUAUUAUUAAUUUAAUUGUUUCAUAAAUUUUUAAAAUAAUAAGUUGGUAAUGAAACGUUAUUCGUUUUAUAAUAUAUCUAGUUUCUUAAGAAAAAAAUUUAAUUUUAUGUUUUUUUUUAAUUUAAUAAUUUUUUAUUAAAUUAAAGAAUUAUGUUUAUAAUUAAUGGGAUAAGCUUUUAAUUAUAGUUUUAAAAUUUAAUAGGUUUUUAUAUUAAAUAGGAUUGGAAUUGUUCAUUUUUAAUAGAAUGUUAUAAUUAGUUAUUUUUUAUAAUUAUUUAUUUUAAUUUAAGUUUUUUAUUAAGAUUUUAAAUUUAAUGUUUAAAUUUAAGUAAUAAUGAUAAAAUUAGUAUAUUUUUAAUGUAUAAAUAUUUUAAUUGGCAAGGUGUUUAAAAGGAACUCGGCAAUUAUAUUUUUCACCUGUUUAUUAAAAACAUGUCCUUUUGAAUAUGAUUUAAGGUCUAACCUGCUCAAUGAGAAUUUAAAUAGCCGCAGUAUAUUGACUGUGCAAAGGUAGCAUAAUCAUUAGUUUUUUAAUUGAAAGCUGGAAUGAAUGGUUGAAUGAGAAAAUAACUGUCUCUUAAAUAUUAAAUUAUAAUUUUAUUUUUAAGUUAAAAAGCUUAAAUUUUAUAAUGGGACGAGAAGACCCUAUAGAGUUUAAUAAAUUACAAUUUAAUUUUUAAGGUUUAUUUUAGGUUUAAUUUUGUUAAUUUGUUUUGUUGGGGUGACAUUUAAAUUAAAAGAACUUUAAAUUAUUUUAACAUUGAUUUAUGAAUUUUUGAUCUUCUAUUAGGGAUUAAAAGAAAAAAUUACCUUAGGGAUAACAGCGUAAUUUUUUUGGAGAGUUCUUAUCGAUAAAAAAGAUUGCGACCUCGAUGUUGGAUUAAAGUUAAAUUUUGAUGGAGAAGUUAAAAUGUUAAGUCUGUUCGACUUUUAAAACUUUACAUGAUCUGAGUUUAAACCGGCGUGAGCCAGGUUGGUUUCUAUCUUUUAAAAAAUAAUAUAUUUUAGUACGAAAGGACCAAAUAUAUAAAUAUUAUUUUAUGUUUUGAAUACUAUU